GAUGAAGAACGUAGUGAAAUGCGAUAAGUAAUGCGAAUUGCAGAAUUCAGUGAGUCAUCGAAUCUUUGAACGCACAUUGCGCCCUGUGGUAUUCCGCAGGGCAUGCCUGUUCGAGCGUCAUUUCAACCCUCAUGCCCCUAGGGCGUGGUGUUGGGGAUCGGCCAAAGCCCGCGAGGGACGGCCGGCCCCUAAAUCUAGUGGCGGACCCGUCGUGGCCUCCUCUGCGAAGUAGUGAUAUUCCGCAUCGGAGAGCGACGAGCCCCUGCCGUUAAACCCCCAACUUUCCAAGGUUGACCUCAGAUCAGGUAGGAAUACCCGCUGAACUUAAGCAUAUCAAUAAGCGGAGGA
rnacentral:misc_RNA from 1 species